CUGACUAAAUGAUAAACGAUGGAAUGUUUCGAGGCUUCAUGCAAUUCAUGCAACAUCAGGCGAGAGCGGCUCCUGUCCAAAAUACAGGUGGAAACACUGGUAACUCUAGGACGGUCACAGUCAAACAGUUUAAGGAGCUGGGACCACCAGAGUUUUUUGGAGAGCCAAAACCACUUAAGGCGGAGACGUGGAUAAAGCAG
rnacentral:lncRNA from 1 species